CUCCAUUUUCGUUUUUCUUUGCUUCCUUUAAGUCCGAGAAUUGAAACCCAAGGCUAGUGGGUGAGAAAGAUCAAGUUCCCAACUCCUUCCUCCUUCUCGGAUUCAAAAACGGAGUUAGGGAUUUCAAAACCGUCAAACACAAACCUCUUCGUUUCAUCUAGAUCUAAGCUUCGUUUCGCGAAGAGAUAGAAGGGAAAGUUGCUCACUACCACGCUACGGUGCUAGGGAACCAACUU
rnacentral:lncRNA from 1 species